rnacentral:rRNA from 1 species
ACGUCAGAACUGUUUCGGUCUUCCAUCAGGGUUUCCCCUGACUUCAACCUGAUCAAGUAUAGUUCACCAUCUUUCGGGUCACAGCAUAUAUGCUCAAGGUACGUUCCAGUUAGAGGCAUAAAUAAUAUAAAUACUAUUAUACAUAACUAUAUAGAACGCCCCGGGAUUGUGUUAAUUAACUAUAAAUAGUUAAAAAACUAAUCCCAUUAACGGUCAAGUUAAUU